rnacentral:tRNA from 1 species
CCUGAAAUAGUUUAAAAUAAAACGUAAAAUUGCAAAUUUUUAGAUGGGACUUAGCCACCUUUCAGGU